rnacentral:rRNA from 1 species
UACGGCGGCCAUAGCGACAGGGAAACGCCCGGUCCCAUUCCGAACCCGGAAGCUAAGCC